rnacentral:lncRNA from 1 species
GUGCCAAAAGUUCUCUAAAUUCCAAUAUCUCCAAUUGUAACCCUUGGUCAUACAGUUCAUGCAAUUCUUUAGUCAUAGGUCUUUUUCUGUGCUGAUAUGAGUAAGGCUACUUGCUGACUUCUUGCUUAAGGCAUCUACCAUUACAUUUGCUUUACCUGGAUGGUAAAGAAUGGUAUAAUCAUAAUCCUUCAAAAGCUCCAACCAUCUUCU